AGUGAACGCUGGCGGUAGGCCUAACACAUGCAAGUCGAACGGCAGCACAGUAAGAGCUUGCUCUUACGGGUGGCGAGUGGCGGACGGGUGAGGAAUACAUCGGAAUCUACUUUUUCGUGGGGGAUAACGUAGGGAAACUUACGCUAAUACCGCAUACGACCUACGGGUGAAAGCAGGGGAUCUUCUGACCUUGCGCGAUUGAAUGAGCCGAUGUCGGAUUAGCUAGUUGGCGGGGUAAAGGCCCACCAAGGCGACGAUCCGUAGCUGGUCUGAGAGGAUGGUCAGCCACACUGGAACUGAGACACGGUCCAGACUCCUACGGGAGGCAGCAGUGGGGAAUAUUGGGCAAUGGGCGCAAGCCUGAUCCAGCCAGACCGCGUGGGUGAAGAAGGCCUUCGGGUUGUAAAGCCCUUUUGUUGGGAAAGAAAAGCAGCAGGUUAAUACCCCGCUGUUCUGACGGUACCCAAAGAAUAAGCACCGGCUAACUUCGUG
rnacentral:rRNA from 1 species